GAACUGGAGAGUUUGAUCCUGGCUCAGAGCGAACGUUAGCGGCGGGCCUAACACAUGCAAGUCGAACGAGAAAGCCCUUCGGGGUGAGUACAGUGGCGCACGGGUGAGUAACGCGUAGGUAAUCUACCCUCAGGCGGGGGAUAACGUUCCGAAAGGGACGCUAAUACCGCAUAAGACCACAGUCUCUGCGGAGACAGUGGGAAAAGAUGGCCUCUCCUUGGAAGCUAUCACCAGAGGAUGAGCCUGCGUCCCAUCAGCUUGUUGGUAAGGUAACGGCUUACCAAGGCGAAGACGGGUAGCUGGUCUGAGAGGAUGAUCAGCCACACUGGCACUGGAACACGGGCCAGACUCCUACGGGAGGCAGCAGUGAGGAAUAUUGGGCAAUGGGCGCAAGCCUGACCCAGCCACGCCGCGUGAGUGAUGAAGGCCUUCGGGUUGUAAAGCUCUGUGGGGAAGGAAGAAAAAGCGUUGGAAUAAUACCCAACGCCUUGACGGUACUUCCUUAGCAAGCACCGGCUAACUCUGUGCCAGCAGCCGCGGUAAGACAGAGGGUGCAAACGUUGCUCGGAAUUACUGGGCGUAAAGCGCGUGUAGGCGGAUACGCAAGUCGGGUGUGAAAGCCCCGGGCUCAACCUGGGAACUGCAUUCGAAACUGCGUAUCUCGAGUACUGGAGAGGGAAGCGGAAUUCCCGGUGUAGAGGUGAAAUUCGUAGAUAUCGGGAGGAACACCAGUGGCGAAGGCGGCUUCCUGGACAGUCACUGACGCUGAGACGCGAAAGCGUGGGGAGCAAACAGGAUUAGAUACCCUGGUAGUCCACGCCGUAAACGAUG
rnacentral:rRNA from 1 species